AAAACUUUAGGUUAAAAAAACCUUAAAUUUUCAAAAUUUAAAAUAGGAAAAAUAAAUUUCUAAGUUUUG
rnacentral:tRNA from 1 species